GUGCUCACUUCAGCAGCACAUAUACUAAAAUUGGAACAAUACAGACAAGAUUAGCAUGGCCCCUACACAAGCAUAACAUGCAAAUCCAUAAAGUGUUCCAUAUUUUU
ensembl:snRNA U6 U6 spliceosomal RNA